rnacentral:rRNA from 1 species
GAUGAACGCUAGCGGGAGGCCUAACACAUGCAAGCCGAGCGGUAUUUGUUCUUCGGAACAGAGAGAGCGGCGCACGGGUGCGGAACACGUGUGCAACCUGCCUUUAUCUGGGGGAUAGCCUUUCGAAAGGAAGAUUAAUACCCCAUAAUAUAUUGAGUGGCAUCAUUUGAUAUUGAAAACUCCGGUGGAUAGAGAUGGGCACGCGCAAGAUUAGAUAGUUGGUGAGGUAACGGCUCACCAAGUCAAUGAUCUUUAGGGGGCCUGAGAGGGUGAUCCCCCACACUGGUACUGAGACACGGACCAGACUCCUACGGGAGGCAGCAGUGAGGAAUAUUGGACAAUGGGUUAGCGCCUGAUCCAGCCAUCCCGCGUGAAGGACGACGGCCCUAUGGGUUGUAAACUUCUUUUGUAUAGGGAUAAACCUACUCUCGUGAGAGUAGCUGAAGGUACUAUACGAAUAAGCACCGGCUAACUCUGUG